GCGGUGGUAGCUCAGUGGUUAAGAUGUUGGGUUAUUGAUCAGAAGGUUGUGAGUUCUAACCCCAGCACUGCC